rnacentral:tRNA from 1 species
UGCUCUGUGGCUAAGUUGGUUACGGCGUCCGACUGUUAAAUUCCACACUUCUUUGCGUGCUUACGUAAUAAUCGGAAGAUCGUGAGUUCGACCCUCACCGGAGCAG